GAUGAACGCUGACAGAAUGCUUAACACAUGCAAGUCGAUGGGGAAGUGGUGCUUGCACCAUGGCAACCAUGGCGGACGGGUGAGUAACGCGUAAGGGACUUACCUGCAGGACUGGGAUAACAGGGGGAAACUCCUGACAAGACCGGAUAAUGUCACGGAGCUGCAUGGCUUUAUGAUGAAAGGAGACGCCUGCGGAGAGCCUUGCGUCCUAUUAGCUAGUUGGUGAGGUAAUGGCUCACCAAGGCGAAGAUAGGUAGCCGGCCUGAGAGGGUGGACGGCCACAAGGGGACUGAGAUACGGCCCUUACUCCUACGGGAGGCAGCAGUGGGGAAUAUUGGACAAUGGGGGCAACCCUGAUCCAGCAAUUCUGUGUGCACGAAGAAGGUUUUCGGAGUGUAAAGUGCUUUCAGCAGGGAAGAAGUAAGUGACGGUACCUGCAGAAGAAGCGACGGCUAAAUACGUG
rnacentral:rRNA from 1 species